GGAAUACAGUAAGUGUCCCAUAUACAUUAGGAAUCUUAUUCAUCCUCCUGCCCACCCUAUCUCUCAACUCAGGUUUUAGGGUCCUUUGGGGAUAGGACAAGAGUCCUUUCUGAUGUCAACAUCCAUUAGCAUUAGACUCUGGCAUUUAUUGCUGCACAUGUCACUUGCACACAUGUCAGAAGUAUCCAGGGGCAACGGGUUCCCUUAAUUUCCCUCACUUAUUCCAUUGUUGGCUGGGCAGGAGUCCAAAGCCCUGGGUUCAGGCCCCAGCUCUGUGACUGACUUGCUGUGUGACCUUUCCCUUCUAGGCUUCAGCUUCCCCACCUGUCCAGGGGGAGGCCAGUGACUGAUUUUAGAACCCUUUAAGCAUUGAAGUUCUCUGAUCCUUAAAUCACUCAAGUUUAAUGGGGAAAAAGCACCUCCAUUGUAAUUCCUGAG
rnacentral:lncRNA from 1 species